rnacentral:misc_RNA from 1 species
UACGGGGGGUGCAAGCGUUAUCCGGAUUCAUUGGGUUUAAAGGGUGCGUAGGUGGAAAAUUAAGUCAGUGGUGAAAGCCCACAGCUCAACUGUGGAAUUGCCGUUGAUACUGGUUUUCUUGAGUGUAGUUGGGGUAGGCGGAAUGUGACAUGUAGCGGUGAAAUGCAUAGAUAUGUCACAGAACACCGAUCGCGAAGGCAGCUUACCAAACUAUUACUGACACUGAUGCACGAAAGCGUGGGGAGCGAACAGG